CCUANGGGUGGCAGCAGUGGGGAAUAUUGCACAAUGGGCGCAAGCCUGAUGCAGCGACGCCGCGUGCGGGAUGAAGGCCUUAGGGUUGUAAACCGCUUUCAGCAGGGACGAAAUUGACGGUACCUGCAGAAGAAGCCCCGGCCAACUACGUGCCAGCAGCCGCGGUAAUACGUAGGGGGCGAGCGUUGUCCGGAUUUAUUGGGCGUAAAGAGCUCGUAGGCGGUCCGGUAAGUCGGAUGUGAAAUCUCCACGCUUAACGUGGAGGGGUCAUUCGAAACUGCCAUGGCUAGAGUUUGGUAGGGAGUGCGGAACUCCCGGUGUAGCGGUGAAAUGCGCAGAUAGCGGGAAGAACACCCGCAGCGAAGGCGGCACUCUGGGCCAAUACUGACGCUGAGGAGCGAAAGCGUGGGGAGCAAACAGGAUUAGAUACCCCANUAGUC
rnacentral:rRNA from 1 species